rnacentral:lncRNA from 1 species
CAGCACAGCACAGCACACACAGCACAGCACACACAGCACAGCACAGCACAGCACAGCACACACAGCACAGCACACACAGCACAGCACAGACAGCACAGCACAGACAGCACAGCACAGCACACACAGCACAGCACACACAGCACACACAGCACAGCACAGACAGCACAGCACAGACAGCACAGCACAGCACAGCACACACAGCACAGCACAGCACAGCACACACAGCACAGCACAGCACACACAGCACAGCACAGCACACACAGCACAGCACAGCACACACAGCACAGCACACACAGCACAGCACAGCACAGCACAGCACAGCACACACAGACAGCACACACAGCACACACAGCACAGCACACACAGCACAGCACAGCACACACAGCACAGCACAGCACACACAGCACAGCACAGCACACACAGCACAUCACAGCACACACAGCACACACAGCACAGCACAC